rnacentral:rRNA from 1 species
CUCGAGAGGACUGCGGACUGCUGUCGCGAGGCCUUCGGGUCGCGUUAUGGCGGGAAACAGUUCAAUCGCAAUGGCUUGAACCGGGUAAAAGUCGUAACAAGGUAUCUGUAGGUGAACCUGCAGAUGGAUCAUCG